GGACCGGGAUAACCUUGGGAAACUGAGGAUAAUACUGGAUAGGCAAUUAUUCCUGGAAUGGUUUUUUGUUUAAAUGUUUUUUCGCCUAAGGAUGGGUCUGCGGCCGAUUAGGUAGUUGGUUAGGUGACGGCUUACCAAGCCAUUGAUCGGUACGGGUUGUGAGAGCAAGAGCCCGGAGAUGGAACCUGAGACAAGGUUCCAGGCCCUACGGGGUGCAGCAGGCGCGAAACCUCCGCAAUGUGAGAAAUCGCGACGGGGGGAUCCCAAGUGCCAUUCUUAACGGGAUGGCUCUUCAUUAGUGUAAAGAGCUUUUGGAAUAAGGGCUGGGCAAGACCGGUGCCAGCCGCCGCGGUAACACCGGCAGCUCUAGUGGUAGCAGUUUUUAUUGGGCCUAAAGCGUCCGUAGCCGGUUUAAUAAGUCUCUGGUGAAAUCCUGUAGCUUAACUGUGGGAAUUGCUGGAGAUACUAUUAGACUUGAGACCGGGAGAGGUUAGAGGUACUCCCAGGGUAGAGGUGAAAUUCUGUAAUCCUGGGAGGACCGCCUGUUGCGAAGGCGUCUAACUGGAACGGUUCUGACGGUGAGGGACGAAAGUUAGGGGCGCGAACCGGAUUAGAUACCCGGGUAGUCCUAACCGUAAACGAUGCGGACUUGGUGUUGGGGUGGCUUUGAGCUGCUCCAGUGCCGAAGGGAAGCUGUUAAGUCCGCCGCCUGGGAAGUACGGUCGCAAGACUGAAACUUAA
rnacentral:rRNA from 1 species